UCAGAGUUUGAUCUGGCCAGGAUGAACGCUAGCUACAGGCUUAACACAUGCAAGUCGAGGGGCAUCAGUUUGGUUUGCUUGCAAACCAAAGCUGGCGACCGGCGCACGGGUGAGUAACACGUAUCCAACCUGCCUCAUACUCGGGGAUAGCCUUUCGAAAGAAAGAUUAAUAUCCGAUAGCAUAUAUUUCCCGCAUGGGUUUUAUAUUAAAGAAAUUCGGUAUGAGAUGGGGAUGCGUUCCAUUAGUUUGUUGGG
rnacentral:rRNA from 1 species